rnacentral:rRNA from 1 species
GACGAACGCUGGCGGCGUGCUUAACACAUGCAAGUCGAACGGAAAGGCCCUGCUUUUGUGGGGUGCUCGAGUGGCGAACGGGUGAGUAACACGUGAGUAACCUGCCCUUGACUUUGGGAUAACGUCAGGAAACUGGGGCUAAUACCGGAUAGGAGCUCCUGCUGCAUGGUGGGGGUUGGAAAGUUUCGGCGGUUUGGGAUGGACUCGCGGCUUGUCAGCUUGUUGGUGGGGUAGUGGCUUACCAAGGCUUUGACGGGUAGCCGGUCUGAGAGGGUGACCGGACACCUUGGGUCUAGGAUUCGGCCCUGACUCCUAGGGGACGCAGCAGUGGGGAAUAUUGCACAAUGGGCGGAAGCCUGAUGUAGCAAGUCCGCGUGCUGGAUCACGGCCUUCGGGUUGUAAACCGCUUUCGCCUGGGACGAAGCGUGAGUGACGGUAAUGGGUAAAGAAGCACCGGCUAACUACGUG